ACGCCGCGUGAGUGAAGAAGGGUUUCGGCUCGUAAAACUCUGUUGUUAAAGAAGAACAUAUCUGAGAGUAACUGUUCAGGUAUUGACGGUAUUUAACCAGAAAGCCACGGCUAACUACGUGCCAGCAGCCGCGGUAAUACGUAGGUGGCAAGCGUUGUCCGGAUUUAUUGGGCGUAAAGCGAGCGCAGGCGGUUUUUUAAGUCUGAUGUGAAAGCCUUCGGCUCAACCGAAGAAGUGCAUCGGAAACUGGGAAACUUGAGUGCAGAAGAGGACAGUGGAACUCCAUGUGUAGCG
rnacentral:rRNA from 1 species